UACAGAGGGUGCAAGCGUUAAUCGGAAUUACUGGGCGUAAAGCGUGCGUAGACGGUUAUUUAAGUCAGGUGUGAAAGCCCCGGGCUCAACCUGGGAAUUGCAUUUGUGACUGCAUCGCUGGAGUGCGGCAGAGGGGGAUGGAAUUCCGCGUGUAGCAGUGAAAUGCGUAGAUAUGCGGAGGAACACCGAUGGCGAAGGCAAUCCCCUGGGCCUGCACUGACGCUCAUGCACGAAAGCGUGGGGAGCAAACAGG
rnacentral:rRNA from 1 species